GUAAAAUCCAAUAUCGGCUCCUAACUCACAUUUUUCUCAUCCCCCAAAAUAACUCACAGUUCAUUUACUGUUCAUUUAUUUGUUCGUUCGUUCACAUCUUCUCCUCCCUCUCUCUCUUCAUUUGCUUUUUCAGUUUCCUUUUUACUGCCCUUUCUCUCUCUCUCUCUCUCUAAAAAUCUUCAGUUUGUUAGGAUUCCUACCUAUUUACCCCCUUGUAAUCCACUAGAAACAUCUCAUUUUGGGUUUUCUUAAAUUCUUUGUCCAGCCAUAAAUUAUAGCUACAGAAAGCGAGAUGUAUAGAAGACAGGAGAAUGUUGCGGGAAAUGGAAUUUCCGGCCUUUUUUUCAGACUUUCCGGCCAUAGUUUGACAAACCCAUAAUUUAUAUUUUCGUUUUCAGAGGUAUAUGAUCCUCAUUAAGAAAAAUGACCGAGACGUUGUUAUGCAUAAAGCCCAACUCGCUUGAAGAAAAUGACAAGAAAAAGUCGGAGCAAACAAAGCAUGAAGAAAGGAAAUUAGAGAGAGAAACGGGUAUCUCCAGUACCACUACCACCACUACACCAAAAUCAAUUAUCAUUAUUCCAGGAAUCAAAUCCCAAGCCUCCAGCCGAAAGGUCACUCCUUCUACCAUCAGAACAACGUCCGGAAGCACUAUAUCUCCAACUUGUAGAGUUGCGAAAAGCAUAAUUGAAAAGCGCAUCCAGAACGGGGAUCUGUAUAUCGGAACUUUGGUCAACAAUACGCCACACGGAUCCGGGAAGUACUUGUGGAAGGACGGAUGUAUGUAUGAGGGGGACUGGAAAAGGGGUAAGGCUUCCGGAAAGGGUAAGUUAUCCUGGCCAUCAGGGGCAACCUUUGAAGGUGAAUUCAAGUCGGGCCGAAUGGAGGGAUCGGGCACUUAUAUAGGAUCAGAUGGAGAAAUAUAUAAAGGGUCAUGGUCUGCGGAUCGAAAACAUGGGUAUGGAUUGAAACAUUACAGCAAUGGGGAUUACUACGAGGGACAGUGGAAGAAGGACUUGCAAGAUGGGCAAGGGAGGUAUGUGUGGAAGAAUGGGAACGAGUAUAAAGGGGAGUGGAAGAGUGGAAUGCUUAACGGGAGGGGUGUUUUGGUUUGGAAUAAUGGGAAUACGUUUGAUGGGAAUUGGGAAAGUGGGAUUCCAAAGGGCCAUGGAGUUUUCACAUGGCCUGAUGGGAGUUGCUACAUUGGCAGCUGGUCUAAAGACUCUAGUAAAAACAGCAAUGGUAAUCAAGUCUUGAAUGGUACUUUUUAUCCUGAACACAACAAACACGGGAAUGAGGGGUUUAAAAAGUACGUUAAUCAAUUAUCUCCAUUGACGGUCGUUGGGAACGAGUCUGUGAAUAUAAUAGAGGGUGCGGGGAAGAAGAGGUCAUCGGUGGACAUAGGAAUGAUGGACAAGAGUUUUCAGAGGAUAUGCAUUUGGGAGUCAGAUGGGGAGGAUGGGGACAUUACAUGUGAUAUUAUUGACAAUGUGGAGGCUUCGAUGUUGUAUAGAGAUGGGUUUCGAUUGGAUUGUGAUGGGAUUUGGAAGUUUCGGAGGAAUCGGUGUUGUUUUAGUGGGGAAGUGAAGAAGCCAGGGCAAACGAUAUCGAAAGGGCAUAAAAAUUAUGAUCUGAUGCUCAAUCUCCAAUUGGGUAUUAGGUAUUCAAUAGGAAAGUAUGCUUCCGUGUUACGGGAUCUUAAACCAUGCGAUUUUAAUCCUAAGGAGAAGUUUUGGACUAGGUUUCCUCCAGAAGGAUCAAGGAUGACUCCGCCCCACCAGUCUGUGGAGUUCCGGUGGAAGGAUUAUUGUCCUGGGGUCUUUAGGCAUUUGAGGGAACUAUUUCAAGUAGAUCCCGCAGAUUAUAUGCUGGCAAUUUGUGAAAAUGAUUCUCUCAGAGAGUUGUCUUCUCCUGGAAAGAGUGGAAGCUUCUUUUACUUAACACAGGAUGAUCGAUUUAUGAUUAAGACAGUAAAGAAAUCCGAAGGCAAGGUGCUUAUUAAGAUGCUUCCGAGUUACUAUCAGCAUGUCUAUCGCUAUAAAAAUUCCCUUGUCACCAAGUUUUAUGGUGUUCAUUGUGUCAAACCAGUGGGUGGGGUCAAGACAAGGUUCAUUGUGAUGGGAAAUUUGUUUUGCUCGGAGUAUCGAAUACAUAGAAGGUUUGAUUUGAAAGGGUCAUCCCAUGGGCGCACAACUUAUAAGCCUGAGGGAGAGAUUGAUGAAACUACGACUCUUAAGGACCUUGACCUUAACUUCGUGUUUCGCAUCCAAAGAAAUUGGUACCAAGAAUUAAUCAAGCAAAUUGAUAGAGAUUGUGAAUUUCUAGAGGCAGAGAAAAUCAUGGAUUACAGUCUUUUGGUUGGCCUUCAUUUUCGUGAUGAUAGUACUCGGGACAAGAUGGGUUUAUCCCCAUUUCUAUUGCGUACAGGAAAAAGAGAUUCAUUUCAAAAUGAGAAGUUCAUGCGUGGCUGUCGUUUCCUUGAAGCAGAACUACAGGACAUGGAUCGAAUUCUAGCUGGAAGGAAACCACUGAUCAGAUUGGGGGCUAACAUGCCUGCACAAGCAGAGCGAGUGGCUCGAAGGAGUGACUUUGAUCGGUAUGGAGUUAACAAUGUGACCCCUUCCCCCAGGGGUGAAAUCUAUGAAGUAGUCCUCUACUUUGGGAUCAUUGACAUUUUGCAGGAUUAUGAUAUCAGCAAGAAAAUCGAGCAUGCCUACAAAUCCUUGCAGACUGACCCAACCUCUAUAUCAGCAGUCGAUCCAAAGCUAUAUUCCAAGAGGUUUCGAGAUUUUGUAGGUAGAAUCUUCGUAGCAGAAAGGUGAAUAAAAUUUUGAAGAUUCUAUUUGAAAUCUUGAACGCCAGACUAUUAGAGCACACACACCCUGAACUGGAUGCCAUUAGGAACAACACAUUUUUGGACUCGAAAUUGCUAGUUUUCACUGAUUGGGAUUUUUUCAAUGAUGGGGUUAUUUUAUGCUGUUAGAAGAUGGCUGAAUUUUGCGGAUCAGUGUGGGAGGAAAAUUAUUGUUUUCCGGGUUCUUUCUUUUGGUAGUAAUUUUUUGUGGUUACCAAGGAAUGCCAAGAUUUGAAAGAUAGGUAUAGGGAAAAGAGCAAGUUUUCCCUGAAAGAUAGGUAUGGGAGUUGGCUUUGAAUAAUGAAAUGUACAGCUUACAGAAAAAUGUUGCACAGUAAAAGAGAGAGUGGGUGGGGUUGAGUACAUCACAUGAAAAGGAGAGAAAGUGAAAUAAAGAUGUGCUGGUGUUUCUUGUAAGACCCACUUUGUUUACUUACUCUCUCUUCCUUCUAACUCAUCAGUUUACAAUUAUAAUUUCAAAUUGACUUAAAAUAGACUUUAAUUUUCUUCUUUGAAGAAAGAUGCCAUGAGUCUUCAAAGAAUGUAGGUAAUCUGUUUGUACAGGGGCCGUUGAUUGGGAAAUUUACAGGAAGUGGCAGUUUUGAACCAACUGCUAAUGAAAAUUUCUGAAGUAUUAUUUUGUACAAAACUUUGUCAAACUGCCUCGCGUACAUUGCAGAACUCGAGAAUGUACAUAUUUGAUCUAAUGCUCAUAGUGGGCAUGAGUUAUAAUAUCCGUCAUUAACGUGAUAA